GACGGAGGAUGCAAGUGUUAUCCGGAAUCACUGGGCGUAAAGCGUCUGUAGGUGGUCAAAUAAGUCAACUGUUAAAUCUUGAGGCUCAACCUCAAAAUCGCAGUCGAAACUAUUAGACUAGAGUAUAGUAGGGGUAAAGGGAAUUUCCAGUGGAGCGGUGAAAUGCGUAGAGAUUGGAAAGACCACCGAUGGCGAAGGCACUCUACUGGGCCAUUACUGACACUGAGAGACGAAAGCUAGGGGAGCAAAUGGG
rnacentral:rRNA from 1 species